AUUGAACGCUGGCGGCAGGCCUAACACAUGCAAGUCGAGCGGAUGAAGGGAGCUUGCUCCUGGAUUCAGCGGCGGACGGGUGAGUAAUGCCUAGGAAUCUGCCUGGUAGUGGGGGAUAACGUCCGGAAACGGGCGCUAAUACCGCAUACGUCCUGAGGGAGAAAGUGGGGGAUCUUCGGACCUCACGCUAUCAGAUGAGCCUAGGUCGGAUUAGCUAGUUGGUGGGGUAAAGGCCUACCAAGGCGACGAUCCGUAACUGGUCUGAGAGGAUGAUCAGUCACACUGGAACUGAGAAACGGCCCAGACUCCUACGGGAGGCAGCGGUGGGGAAUAUUGGCAAAUGGGCGAAAGCCUGAUCCAGCCAUGCCGCGUGUGUGAAGAAGGUCUUCGGAUUGUAAAGCACUUUAAGUUGGGAGGAAGGGCAGUAAGUUAAUACCUUGCUGUUUUGACGUUACCAACAGAAUAAGCACCGGCUAACUGCGU
rnacentral:rRNA from 1 species